AAAGCGUGCGCAGGCGGUUUUGUAAGUUUGUCGUGAAAGCCCCGGGCUCAACCUGGGAAUUGCGAUGAAGACUGCAAGGCUUGAAUCUGGCAGAGGGGGGUAGAAUUCCACGUGUAGCAGUGAAAUGCGUAGAGAUGUGGAGGAACACCGAUGGCGAAGGCAGCCCCCUGGGUCAAGAUUGACGCUCAUGCACGAAAGCGUGGGGAGCAAACAGGAUUAGAUACCCUUGU
rnacentral:rRNA from 1 species